rnacentral:lncRNA from 1 species
GGGAGAGAGGGAAUCCAGCUACCACCACCCAAAGCCAGCGUCUGCUUUCUGUCCUCAUUUCCUUUUCCCACCCAGCUUGGAGAGCAGAGAAAGGCAGAGAGAGCGAGAAAUAGAGACAGUCUGAGAGACAGACAGACAGCCAGAGAGAGCGGGAGGGAGGAGGGCGGAGGAGGAGGAGCAGGAGGACUACGCGGGGCGCGUUCCCUCCCAGCCGGGCGCCCGCGUCGCUGCCACCGCCGGAAGACAGACGUCCCCCAAAACCCCUCGCCUGGCUCGGACCCACGGAGCCGGCAGCCCAGCACUCCGAUGGGAGCUUGCCUGAUUGUCAACCCAUCGGCCUGGACCCCAGAGCCCACCCAGCUGAGCGUGUGCAGAGGGCCCCGAGUGCGGGGCGACGCUCAGGCCGUUGCAGAGACCACCCUGGAGAUGCUGAUGAAGACAGGCCUUUCCUGCUGAGCCCAGCCUAUCUUCGCAGCCUGCUCAGAAAGGGGAACUGAGGCUCAUGGAUAUACAGUGAGUCCUACCUCCUAGCCUGAGGACUCUUCCCUGCGCCUUGAUGACCUGAGAGAACUGGGAGGAGAAAGGGGUUGUGACAAUGACCAGGACUCAGGGCAGAGGUGGAAACCAGAGUGCCUGAUGUGUGCAGCUGCUGACCCCCCAGGACACCUCUCUACCGGAGUCUGUGGAAGCAGAGAACUGGGAGGCCAAGGUGAGGUGCUGGGAGGGCCUGGGUAGCCCAGGUAUGCUAAGGUGCCCUUGCAGGACAGGGAGGGGGCGGGGGCAGUGGCAGGACCC